GGUAAGUUAUUAUUUUUUUUAAAGGUGUAUUUUGGCUCCUGGUUCUGGAGGUUAGAAAGGUGUCAGCAUCCGCUUGGCUUCUGAUGAGGGCUUCUUGCCGUGGCACAGUGGUGGGGAAGCAGAAAAGGGAAGUGCACUUGUGGGGAGGGAGUACACGAGGGAGGGAGGGACAGGGGAGGCCGACCUGCUUGGUAAGAGCACUCCUCAAGGUAAAUAAUCCAGUCCCUUUAGACCUCAAUUACUCCCAUGAGACCUAACCCAGUCUGAGAUCAAGAGAUUUGCUCAUAAGGGUGGUGCCCCCAUGACCUAAUCAUCUCCCCCCAGGCCCCGCCUUUUAAAGGUCCCGCCACUUCUCAAUACCAUUACCUUGGGGACAAGGCUUCCAGCACGUGAGGCUCUCACACCCUGGGAGCUUAUCGUCUGCCUGCAUGGAGACAGGACCAGGACAGGCACUGCCUCCAGUUACCCUCCUGCUCUCUCUGGAUCUCUGCUGUCUCCACUGGGACAGGUGCAGCCAGGUGGCACGACCAUCCUUUCCCUCAUGAUCAUAGGAUUGCACUAAGAUACGAUGAUGGCACGAGUCACCAUGAAAUAUCCAUGAUGUAAUCAGUGGUCAUCUUUGUCCAGAGGAGGCUCAGAAAUGGGCUCCGGGGGAUGGAGACUGGUGCGCAUGUUCUGGGGGCUCGUUGGAUCCGUCUAGUCAUGGGCUGUUUCUGGAAGGGCAGAAAGAGUUGGAGGGAGAAAGGAGCUGUGGGAAGCAAUCCCAGGUUCCCGGUGGGACUGGAAAUUGUGCUGCAGGCCCUGGAAGGCUGACUUCCUGUUUGGCCUGGCACUUGUUCUCCCACGUUUUCGGCGCUGACACAUCCUCUCCCUCCCCCUCUCUGGAUGGCUCCCUCAUGUGUAAAAUGAGGGGGUUGCAUCCGAUCAUAUCUAAGGACACGUUAGGCUUGAGAAAGCAAUGAUUCUGCCUCCCAGCCCUGCCACCCCUCACUUUUCCUUCAGGCCUCUUGGUUGGCGGUGAGAAGAGGAGUACAAAGCAGGAGAGAGAAGCAGGGAGAGAUGUGUGUCCUAUAGCACCCAGGACAACCCCCCGCCCCCCCAGCAAAGAAUGGUCCAGUCCAAAAUGUCAAUAGUACUGAGAUGGUUUGAGGGGAGGAGAGGAAGAAAGCAAAUGCAUAAAUGCCCUACAAGUAAUAAAUGGUUGAAUAAAUAAAAGGAGAAAUCUAGGGAGAAACCAAAAUGCAUGGCAGAAGCUUUAUGUAGGAGAGAACAGAGAAGUCACCAAGUGGGGAGGAUGUGCGGUCAAAUGGUUAGAGCUGGGUGAGUGGCGUUUCAGGGGCUGGCCUCAGUACAAACCAGGGUUGAGGGGUGCUAUACUUGGAUGCUGAAUGCCCCCCAAAGGGUUCAUGGGUUAAAGAUUUGGUCCUCAGGGAGGUGGUGGAAGCUUGUGAAAAGUCACGAGGACCUCAAACAAGACACUGGCCCCUCCUUCUUUCUCACUUUCUGGCUCUAAAGAGAGCGGUUUGCUGUACCAGGCGCUCCCUGCCGUCAGCAUCUGGCACCCCCAACAGAAACCCGAAGCAGAGGCUCUGCUGGAUCUUGAACAGGAACCUCUGAAACCAAGGGCCAAAGGAAACCUUCUUCUUUUUAUGAGUCAACUGUCUUGGUUAUUUCAUUAUAAUAUCAGAGCUCUGACUAACACAGGGGAAUUGAUGCCACUCUCCCUUGUCCUUCAUGGUUUGCUUUGGAAGAUGCCACCCCCAGUUAGGGACCUGUAUUAGUCAACUUUUUUACCCCUGUGACCAAAAUACCUGUCAUAAACAACUUGGAGGAGGAAAGGUUUAUUAUUUUGGCUCCUGGUGUCAGAGGUUGUCCAUGGUUGGUUGGCUCCAAGACAGAAACCUCACGGUGGAAGGGCUUAGCCUUGAGCCGUUGGGAAGCAGACAGGGAGUGAGGCAGAUAAAGUCCCCAAGAAUACACCUCUACUGGGCUACUGCCUCCAGCCAAGCCCUGCCUCCUUUCAGUAGCCCAUUCAAAUUAUCAAUCUGUGAAUGGAUUAACCCACCGACGAGGUUGCAGUCCCCAUGAUCCAAUCACUUCCCCAAAGCCUCCCCUCCGAACAUCGCUGCAUUGAGGGCCAAGUUUUGAACACUGGUGCUCUGGGGGCAGAUUCCAGAUCCAAACCAUAACAGGACUUAUGGAAUUUUAGCAAUGCAGCCAGGUCGGCAGUGGUGCAGGUUGGUGUCACAUGACUGCCUUAGGGUAACACUAGAUGUCCAAAGUCUCUGGUGAUCAUCACCAACUGAGCUCUAACAUGGGAGCUCCGUCAUGACUUGUUUUCCUACAAGACCUUUGCUCCUUAAUGCAAUAACAACAAGCCCGUUAUGUCCAGCUCUAGAGGAAGAUGUCACGUAAAGCAAGAUUCAAAGAUAGAAACAGAGAGAGAAUGUCUUCACAGCUUUAAGGAUGGGAAAAAAUUUUUCUAAAACAGAACACAAAAAUUCAAUGAAUUGGAUUUUAUCAAAAUUGAAAGUCUCGGGCUGGGGUUGUGACUUAGCAGGAGAGCACUUGCCUAGCACGUGUGAGUCCCUGGGUUCGACCCUCAGCACCACAUAAAAAUAAAUGCAUUGUGUCCAACUACAACUAAAAAAUAAAUAUUUUAAAAAAGAAUUAAAAGUCUCUCUCCAUCAAAAGGAGCCAUUUGAAAAAUGAAAAGGGGACACAGGAUACAGCUCAUAUGCAUGAGGUUCUGGGUUCAACCCCAGCACCAGAAAAUGCUAUUAAAAAUACUAUUACUACUAAUAAAAAAUGAAAAGGCAAGCUCGAACUCAGAGAUGAUCUAUAUACCUGCAAUGUGUUUAUUUGCCAAAGUAUUUGUUUCCAGAAUAGAUGAAGAACUACAAAUCAAUCAGAAAAAGAAAACUGAUUAAAAAUGGGCAAAAGACCUGAAAAGACAUUCACUAAAGAGGAUAUGCAGGUAGUUAAAUACCUAUGCAAAGGUGCUCAGCACAACCACUCAUCAGGAAAAUGCCAAUCAAGACCACAGUGGGACACUACUACCCACCUACUAGAGAGGCUGAAGUGAGAGGACUGCAGGACCAGACGUGGCUGAGGCUGUGGAACAAUCGAAACGGCCGUGUCUCACUGUGGGUGUAGGGAAGUGGUACAAUCAUUUAGGAAAACACUUUGGCAGGUUCUGUUUAAGCUACAGAUAAUCUACUCUACAACCCAGUAAUUCUACUCCCGGGUAAAUAUUCCCCAUGCCAAGAAAAAGAUAUAUCCAACUAGCUACUUGGGAGGCUGAGGUAGGAGGGAUGGAAGUUUGAGACCAGCGUUGGUAGAAUUAGUGAGACCCUGUCUCAAAACAAAAUUAAAAAAAAAAAAUUAAAAAGGGCCGGGGGUGUAGCUCAAUAGUAGGGACACUUGUGUUUAAUCCACAGAACUUGCCCGCAAUGUGCACAAAAGAUAAAUAUAAGAAUAUUCAAGGUGUUUCUACACACUUGCAACACCUCAAAUUCCCAUCAAUGUAAGGCCAGAAAAAAACAAAGGUGGCAUGUUCUUAUAUCAGAAUACUCACAAUGAUGGAAAGAUUAUGCAUUCUCUGAUUCCACAAAUGCAAAGUUCAAGAAGAGGCUAAUCUAACCUAUGAUGAGUUAGACCCUGGUAAUGUCUGGUUGGGAUAUGGACUGGGCAGGUGCAUGAGGGAACAUUUUGGGGUGCUGUAAGUUCCACUGUCCCCUUUUUACAGAGCCGGUGUUGGUUAUAUGAAUGCAUGUAUGUACACGAUGGUCAAGCUGUCCAUUAAGAUGGGUCCCUUGGGCCGGGGAUGUGGCUCAAGCGGUAGCUCGCUCGCCUGGUUCGAUCCUCAACACCACAUACAAACAAAGAUGUUGUGCCGAAAACUAAAAAAUAAAUAUUAAAAUUCUCUCUCUCUCUCUCUUAAAAAAAAAAAAAAGAUGGGUCCCUUUAUGUGAUUUACUGAAUGUAUAUGAUACGUCUAUUUAAGAAAAAGUGAAAAGAAAUGCAGAUGAUUAUGUCCAAGGGAAGCAAUAACAACAAUUAUUUACUGAACACUCGAUAGAUAUCAACUUGCUUUAUUUCCCUUAAUCCCAUACAAAGCAUCUGUCAAACAGAUGUUUUCUCAUUUUACAGAUAAAGAAACUGAGGCUUAGCUAUGUUAAAUAACUCAUGUGAAUCUCAUCGCUGGUGAGUAUAGGAGCCAGGACUCGAAUGCCACAUUCUGCACUGAUGCCGCUUGGCUUGGGAACUUGAGGGUGAUUCUUGGUUUUCUGCUUUGCCGACAACUUCCUUAAACAUCAGGUGUUGGAGAGUCCAUUCUUUAAAGAGAACUUCAUCACGGGUCCUGGUAUUCUGGGAGCCUAAAAUCCCCCUAAUUCUUUAAAAAAAAUGGACUGGGGAACCCAACCUCUUAAUGCACCCUUUCCAUAAAUUUGUUCCAGUGGAAAAAGAUCCACAGCUUCCUACCCACGCUGUUCAUCCCAACCAUUCUGUUAAAAAUUCUCUGAGAAAGAAAGGGGGUGGGCUAUAGCGAUCAAUAUUGUGAGCCACAUUUAAGUUCCAGUUCUUCUCCUUUUAAACUGUGAGGCUCCUGAACAGUUAUUUAACUUCGCAAAGCCUUUGUGUCUGGUCUGCAUAAAGGAGACAGUGGCAUUUACCUUGCAGUCUCAUUGUGGGGAUUAAAAGAGGCCACCCUUAGGAAGUGCUCAGUUCAGCAACAGGUUUAUAGCAAGUGCUCAGUAGAGAGAAGGGUAGAGAUAUCACAGUUUUUGCUUCAUUGGUGGCCCAGUCCAAGGCUCUUACAGAGGCUUAACACCUCCCCUCUAUGUGUUAGUGUGUUUGAGUUACUAUAACAAAAUGCUUGAGGCUUAAUUAGCUCACUGUUAGCUCUGGAGGCUCAAGGACAUGGCACCAGCAGCUCUGCUCUGGAGAAGACCUCUUGGCAUCCCACUCACCACAUCCAAACCACAGCACCCUCUUGACAAUCAAC
rnacentral:lncRNA from 1 species